AAAGUACUCACUCCGUUCAAAAAUACUUGUCGGAGAAAUGGAUGUAUCUAGAAAUAUUUUAGUUCUAGAUACAUUCAAUUUUAUCCAUUUCCCCGACAAGUAUUUCCGGACGGAGGGAGUAGUAC
rnacentral:pre_miRNA from 1 species